rnacentral:rRNA from 1 species
AUUGAACGCUGGCGGCAUGCUUUACACAUGCAAGUCGAACGGUAACAGGUUAAGCUGACGAGUGGCGAACGGGUGAGUAAUGCAUCGGAACGUGCCCGAUCGUGGGGGAUAACGCAGCGAAAGCUGCGCUAAUACCGCAUACGAUCUGAGGAUGAAAGCGGGGGACCGUAAGGCCUCGCGCGAUCGGAGCGGCCGAUGUCAGAUUAGGUAGUUGGUGGGGUAAAGGCCCACCAAGCCGACGAUCUGUAGCUGGUCUGAGAGGACGACCAGCCACACUGGGACUGAGACACGGCCCAGACUCCUACGGGAGGCAGCAGUGGGGAAUUUUGGACAAUGGGCGAAAGCCUGAUCCAGCAAUGCCGCGUGCAGGAAGAAGGCCUUCGGGUUGUAAACUGCUUUUGUACGGAACGAAAAGACUCUUUCUAAUAAAGAGGGUUCAUGACGGUACCGUAAGAAUAAGCACCGGCUAACUACGUGCCAGCCGCCGCCGUAAAAC